GCCAGGUCUCCAUAGUAAAUACAAGAUGCACGAAGUGGAAACAAGCACAAACAAUUUAUUUUCUCCGGCAAAAGAUGACACUCUUGUCCGACCUCUGGUCCUGCUUCACUCUUGUCGCUUGGUAGUGCCAAGUGGGUGCCACACAAUGAGCUAUUCCAAACACAUACGCAGAAAACACAGACUGCGUGAUGCACACAUCACGGGGCCUGUGUAUCCAGGCAGCUUCCAAACAGCAAGCCGGUGGCCCCUGAGGACAUCUCACAUCCUGGCAUGGAGAGCAAGGAGGGCUUCCUGGACACCAUCCUUGAAAAGAAGACGUUCCCUCCCCGAGUCUCUGGUGACUGGGGCAGCUGGUGAUGUGCCUGGCUCUGCUCGGAGACUCUGACAGACCUGGAUGCAUGAUCAGCAAGAAGACCAUGAUUCUGCACUGCGGAUCAUCAGCUACGCCCCAAAGAUUUACUGAAUGCUUUCCAAGUGGAGGCACAGAAGAAGUACAAAAAGAUUCCUCUUGGAAACGUAUAACCUGCACAUGUUUUGUAAAAUUUCAUUUUUAAGGGCUGUAUGAUUGAGAAGAAAAACACUGGAUUUUGAGCUGAAAGACUUGGUUAUGAAUUUGUGCUUACUAGUUAUACAAUCCGAGGCAAGACACGUGUACAUUGAGGGCCUUGGUUUCCAUGCCUAUAAAAUGGAAAUCUCAAAGAAGGAGCAAUUUAAACAAGAUGUUAUAUCCUAUACACUUAUAUGUAAUUACAGAUGAACUAUAUGUAGGAUACUAAGUAGAAUAUCAUAUACAUAGGUAUUUUAUGUGUUGUAAAGUAGCACAAUGAUCUGUUACCAUUUAUUCAAAAGGGCUAUGAAGCCUCUACUAUGUAUAAGGCACUGUGUUAAGAUGAUGCUAUGCAGAAGCAUCUGAAGACAAGAGUCCCAAGGUGCUCCUGUUUCAAUAGGGAGAGAUGGGCUGGAACACUACUAGAAAUGGAAACCAAGGGGAAAGACAAUUCAGGAGUCAAGUGCAGUAUGUUAAGUGUUUAGCUAAUAGGCCAUCUUCUGAGGGCUCUGCUGCAUUUCCAUGCCACACACUGGCUGACCUUGGGCUUGCUAUUUAACCUCUUCCUCCAGCAUCUAGCCUUAGUUUCCUCAUCUAUGCAGCAGGGAGAACACCUUCUUGUCAUAUGGCUGUGAUGCCCUCCUCCAGGUGGGACCCCCCCAGUGUGGGUAAUGGGUUCAGACCUGGUACCACUAUUUCAAGAAGAGACUCUGGCACUUACCAUUAGCAAAGCCAUUUGGCAACACCGUAAGUUCAGACUCACCUAGUUUUCUCCAGAUAGUACACGACAGCCUCCCAUCUUCCCUAACACUUAUUAUUAAGAUCAGAAAAGUAACUAUACAUAUUAUUUUAAGUGUUAUGUUACCUGCUUUGAAUUUCCAAAGUCUAAAGACUGCUAGCACAAAAAUUUUUCCAAUAGAUAUUAGCACAAACCUUUUCAAUGAACUAAGAGAUACUAAUAGUAUAACUGACUUGCAUUUUAAGCAACUACUUUAAAUGAUAACAUAAAAUGUAGUAACUAUGGUUGUUCUCCUAUUAUUUUGUUAUGAAAUUUUGUUUGACCUUUUUCCAUAAGAUAGUAAAAAAGAGAAAGUAUUUAGAAAGUUAUACAGUGGAACCUUGGUUCACAAACGUAAUUUGUUCCACCAUACUGGAAAUGAUGGCUGCGGGAAAGAUGGCCAUGGCUGUUUUCUCAGCAAAUGGUGAGUUCAUAAACAAAAACAAACUUUUGCCAAACGCUUCUGUUUGCGCACCAAAUUGUUUGCAAACAGCGUUUGUGAACUGAGAUACCAGUGUGUAUCUGGCUGUAUAUAAUCUGAGAGUCACAAAGAUGAUGUACUAUGAUAAAAACAUUUGGAAAAGGAGAAGCCUACUGGAAUUUGGUACAUGUAGUAUUAUAAAACCUCUUUAUUGUUACGGAAGAAUGCAUACGCAUAACAUCUUUCCUCUUUUAAAACUGCCUCCAUGUAUUUAAAGAGCAUUAAUCUAUCAGCUUUUCUCAUUAAACAAACAAACAAAAAAAAAACUGCUAGCAUUUUAGGUCUCGAAGGAUCCUUAGAAAUCAUUUGUUAUUAUUCAUGGAAUGCAUUUUAUGUUUCUUUUUAUAAAUAACCUAACUUUCUGAUGUGGGUUUAAAUUAUUUUCUACCUAUACUUAGUCUAACCAUUAUAGUUCUCCCUAACUGUCCUUUGAGUGUUUUCAUAGGAUAAUAACCACAAACUAAGAGUGUAAUAUAAAAAUUUACUUAAUUGACAUAUCUAUUUAGAAGUUACUAAUGAAUAGGAGAAAAUUUUUAAAAAUUACUAAUGAACUUUUUGCACAUAAUUAAUUCUGGUUGCUUUCCCAGCUUAACAAAUAAGAACUAGAAUUUGUGACAUUAUUUCCUUAUGUUAUCCAUUAAUGGUGCACUGUGCGCAUUCCAAUGCAGAGAGGGAGAGAAGAGCAAAUGAGGACUCUGAAAAGAACACUUAGCUUCAUUUGGUCAAAAAAUGGUCUUUACAAGGGUUUUUAUUAUGGGUCAUAAAACACUGCUUACCACAAUGUACCUCUUCCUCAAAAAAGAAAAGAAACCCUUGCAGUGGUGAGAAGCUGAAAACAACACACUGAGAGUCCUCGUGCCUUCCUCCCAUAAACACAUCUGUGUAUGUUAAUCUGUUUUGGGAAGAGCUGUGUGCACAGCUGUUUAUGGGGCUCUGAAGAAGAGGCAGCACUUCAACAUUCUUUAUUUCAUGCUGUUGCAAGAACUAAAUCUAAGCUGAAGCCUGUUAGGAUAGAGAGCAAAUGCAUCUCCGGGGGGAGGACAGCCAUAUGCUUCGCACUAAUAACAUCUUCCAUGGGCAGGAAGAGGCUCUGGGUGGUCACAUCCCAUGAGGAAAGCAUGGAGGCCAAGGGAAAAGGGGAUCUCCUCACCAAAAGGAACUGAAGAACUAACCACCAAGCCAGAAACGAGACCUGGGUUAACAAUCUGAUGGCCAUUUUGCAAAGAAGUCGGCAGGUUAACAAGAAGACUGGCAUCGCGGUGGGAAUUAUCCGGGGAAAGAGUAGCAUCAUUAUGGCUAGGAACACCUUAGCCUUCAUGCGGUACUGGUAUCCAGGUAUAGGCACACCUAUGCAUGGAAUGCCGUUUCAGGUUAAAGAUGUCCCUGCUCAAGUGCAGUGCUCUUUAACUUCUUGAGCUGGAGGUUCUCUUAAACAAGCCCUUCUUACCUUCAAAUCUUUUCCUGGCCCACUUAAAGCUCCCAGUUAGCCUUCUGGGUCUUUCCCUUCCCUGGCACCAGAAAACUGUGUUCUACUUCUUACGCUUUUCCUCCAAGGCCGCUCCUCAGCAACCAUCUGUCCGUCUCCUACUACAAUUAGAACUGCUGAAACAAAAACGCCCACACGCAGGAAGACUGGAGUGAUGAUAUAUCACAGCCUCCAAUUUCCUCUGGGCUUUCAGUGUGCUCUCCUCUGGCUCUGCGGAAAGCUCCCUUUGUGUUGCCCACAAUAGCUACCACAAACAUUUAACAUUUGUCUGUUUUCUCUGUCUCAUUUUCAUUCUAAUUGUGGUUCUCCAAAGUAUCUUAAAUUCUAAAUUCCGCCUCCACCCCCUCACCUCGUUCAUUCAUGGCUUUAACCUUUAUAUUGGUCAUAUUUUGAGACAUCCCAAGUCAUGAGAGGAGUUGGACUGUGCCCAAACUCUGUGCAAGCUUUUCUUCCUGCUCUUUUCCAGAAUAUCCCACACAAGUGGUCAUCUCAAGCUGUCCAAAAUAACACAGGUUUUUCACUUCUAUCAAAACUUCAGCCUGUACUUCUAUCAAAACUUCAGCCUUGUACCACCAUCCGCCCAAAUGAGCAAUUCAGAAAUUUGACAAAUAUUUUAGGUUCCUUCUCCCUCCCCAACCAUGUCACCAAUCAGCCACCCUGUCCUGGUCAUUACCGUUUCCAAACUACCUUUCAAGUGAAGGUCAUUUGCAUUCUCUCUGGUCUUCACAGUCCUAAUCAAGCUGCCAGUACGGCUUGCCUGGACCCCUGCAACAGUGAUCCAACACAGCUAGCUCCCAUCUUUAGAUUUAUGUAUCUUUAAUCUUUUCUACACAGUGAUGACUAAGUGAUACUUCUCAAAGGUCAAUAUGAGUCACACAGAAAUCCCCUAAACUCACUCUAAAACAAAGGUUCAACUUAAGACUGAUACCUAAGGCACUUUACUUUCUGAUUCCUAACUCCCUCUGGCUUUAUUUACAGCUAUUCUCCCACCUCUCCCACUGUGCUUACAAGGUAACAUUAUAUCUCUGUCGCUUUGCAGUGCUCCAUUCUCUCUUCAAUGCUCUUGCCAAAAAGUGACUCCAUCCCCAACAUACACACAUCUUCCAAUAUGUAUCUUAUCUGGCUGCCUCCUUGUAGCCUACCUUUGAAAACUUGUGUCAGUCAGUCUUUGGUCAAGUGCUGGUCAAUUCUUCCACACCUGCAGGCUAACGGAGGCACCCCUUCCUAUAACACACCACACUACAUAAGCAUUCUGUUACAGAGCUUAUCUCACUUUCCUUGAAAGGUUAUGUCUCCUUCCCUUGCUGCUAAGAAGGUAACUGGAAAUGAAGGUGGGGUGAAAAAAAUAAAGGCGCAUCCUAUGCACUCCACUAUAUUAUUUCCCCAGACACUUUGCAUGUGUUAUUUCACUUAACUCUUAGCACUCUGUUGAGUAAACUCAUCAUUCAUUCAUUCAAAGUUUGUAUCGUAAGCCCGCUCUUGUGGCAGGCACUGUACUGGGCUGGAGAGCAGUGGUGAUUCUGAGAGUUCCACUUCACUGAUGCCUGGGCUCUUCUUGACCUUGUGCCACAGGCUCACCAGCCCUCUUCAACUUCUGCCUUGGACCUCAGGUGCUGAAUAAAUACAAGACGCACGCACAACGCUGUUCUUAAAAGAUGCUAGGAGGUAUGACAGACAUUGUGAAACAAAAGGAAAAUGCUCAAAAGUACAGGGCA